AGUGGAAUUGCUGGGUCAUAUGGCAAGUGUAUGUUUAACUUUAUAAGAAUCUCCCAAACUGCUUUAUAAAGUGGCUCCACCAUUUUGCAUUCUCACCAGCAAU
rnacentral:pre_miRNA from 1 species